GCGCCAAACGGCUCUCGCCUCCGCGCGCGGGCGUGAACGGCGCGAGGCAGCAGGCGCCAUUUGCCUCCCGCUCCCACGCAGCUACUCACCCGUGGGAAAGGCCGCGCUGGAAGCUGGGGCUACCAUUGGCUGGAGUCUUUGCACACAGGGUGUCUUCGCACUAGACCCUGCACGGCGACUAGAAAGUGCGCUCAAGUCCAUUAAGUGCACCGUGAUCCAUUCGAGAGAGUCCCCUCCAGCAGCCGGAGCCGGGCCCUGGUCGGACCGGCGUACCCUGGCUCCCUGCUGCCUAUCCGCGAGCUGGCAGGACCCUGCCUCUGCCGUUAACGGCUGCUGCGCGCGGCAACACGGCGGCUUCACCGGCUCGGCUUAAGGCAGCGCCGCUCCAAGAGGUCUGCAAAGACCUGGACUAUAAUUUGCAGUUUCCAGAAGCUGCCGCAAAGGAGACCCAAGGGACCGUCUCCAAGGUCUUACACUCUGCUCUGAAAAGAGCAGACAGAAUGGGACACUCCGAAACAGAUUGGGAAGAAAUAGAGACUUACAUUUGGAAAGAAAAAUACAGAAAAAUCACAGAGCACAUAGCAACCCCUUAAACCUUCUCCCAACGUGGAAUUAAUCUACAAUCCCCAAUGCUCCUUUUGUGCUCCCACAGUGCCUCUGCCGUCCCUAGCCCCAAACAAGGCUUCUGCAGCCAUAACGAGGCCCACUCGGUAGAUGUUUACCUGUUUGACCUUUUCUGUUUUCUGACAUUCUUAAGUUGCUAAAAUUGCCUAUAAGCAGCCUUGUGAAAAUUCCCAACUGGAUCAGAAUCUGCAAAUAAAAUUUAAAUUUUGUA